rnacentral:lncRNA from 1 species
UCAUCAGUUCAUUUCUCUUAAUAAACAACAAAAAAAAGUGAUGAAAAAAGAUUUGUUAAGCUCAUCGUUGUACUUGACGGAUUGUGACAGAAAGUGAUAAGAAACAAAAAAAAAUGAGAUGAGAAACAGAAUAAACAGAGAAAAGAGGAAGACGAUAGAAGAGGGGAGAUAACUUUUUUUAGUAAACCGUUUUUUUUAAAGAUCUAUUUAUCUUUAGCUCAUAAUAAUUUCUAACAUCUUGGUGUUGAAUUUUCAUCACUGUGGCUCCCUAAAAGGUUGUUGGCCUUGAUCUCAAGGAUACAACAGUUAGUGCAAACACUUAUGGAUAUAGAAUCAUGUGUGAGUAUGCAUGAUUGUGAUUUGUGAGUAAAUUUCAAUUACAACUUUUCCAUACCGACUAUUGGAUUGUGAAUUCUAUUUAACUUGGCUGCUUCGGUGUCUCCAAAAUUGACUGAGUUUUGAUAUAUACAUAUAAUGAAUUUUUCUUAUUAUACUUCCAAGUUUGAAUCUGCAUAUAUCACAAUAAAAUGAGGAUGGUGGACGAAUGAGCUGGGUGUGGAAUACUAAACAUGUUCUUACAUGAAAUUGAAGCGUUGUAGUUUUGUCCAAACACUAACUUAUGCCUUAUUUAGAACACUCACUUCCCAUAACAUAUGUACUCUCUUCUCGACAAAUG